UGGCGGAAGACGCCCGGGGAAGCAAUGGCCGCUCCCGACGCUGCUCCGGGCUUUGCGGUCUGUCCCCCGAGGUGAGGGCGUUGGGAGCUCCGUGAGGCCCUUUCUUCAUACGAGACUCAGGUUCCGCUGACUUACAUCGUGUCCGCAAAUCUCUGCGCCUGGGCGUGAGGCCAGAUUUCUGCGCCCCACUCCUCUGGUCCCCGGAGAAAUAACAAGAACCCCGAGGACAGACCCGAUGUUUAUUUGUAGUCUCACAAUUAGACCCAGAGAGAGAGGCAGAGACACAGAGGAAGAAGCAGGCUCCAUGCUUGAGCCCGACGCGGGAUUCGAUUCCAGGACCCCGGGGUCACGCCCUGGGCUGAAGGCAGAUGCUCAACCGCUGAGCCACCCGGGCUGCCCAAAGUGGAUUUUAUUCAUCUAGAGGCUUUUGAGAGUUUGUGAUCCCUUCGACCGAAGGGCCCCAGUCUUCUCAACGAUUUUCAGGUGGCGGCGGGGCAACACCAAAAGUACUGUUUAUCUCACCUGCCAAGUGAAAAGUGUGAGACGGAGGAGGAAGUGGAGGCACACCCACACCUCCGCUGGCGAGUGAUUUCUCUGCAGUGAGCCUGUGUUCCUCUCUACCGCUUCCGUUCCGCAGGGUUUUGCUGCUCUGCUAAAUCAAGUCACUCUUGGAACUAAGGAACGGGAGAAAGGCCAAACACUAGGGAUACUCGACUGCAGCUCUGUCUGCAGGAGGCCACAUUCAGUCAUUCUCUUGUUACUUUGUGGUUGAUACUUUGCUAAGAAAUAUCUACUUGGAGAGAACUCCCAGACAAGCCCUAGAACAGAGAGAGGAGCAAACAGUUGGUCACAGUGUGAUGUGAUGUGAUAAAUGCCGUUAAUAGAAACCCCGAGGGCACGAACAGGACAAAAUGAGAGCCGCGAAGGCAGGGGCGUUCAGAGGGGGGAGAUUGAUGCUUGCCUUGAGCUGCGCUAUGGAAAACUAACUUGGCUCACUGGUGACCUCCAAGCGCACUACUAGCGAAGCUAUCCUGCAGGUAAUUAGACAGAAAGCUUCCAGACCAAAUUAAGAUGCUUGAAUAACCUGGUUUAUUGAAUCAAUUUAAAUACCCAGUGAGAAGCAAGAGAAAUAGUUGGAGUAAGUUGACACCCUUAGGAAAGGGUGCAAGCAAAGGGAAGGGUAAUGUCACCUGAGUUACGAGUUAUGUAAUAUUCAUGCAAUAUUGCAAUAUUCAAUAUGCAAUAUUCAUAUGUUCUGUCUGCCGCAUCAGCCUCUUCCACUGAUGAUAUACUUAUGAGGACUAGAGUUGAGGUCAUAGCAAGGAGGUCCACAAGUGAAAAGUACCUUGCACCAGUGGCACACACCUGCUCUGUUGGAGAUGCAGGGAAACGUGCUUGGCCACAACCAGAGCCUACGAGUUAGCUUGGUGGACAGAUACUGAUUUUAUUUGCAUUUCUUGGAUAGAGCACAUACCUAUGAGACUAUAUGAAGUGUUAUGGGUAGCUAAUUUAGGGCUGACAAAGCUUUCAGCCCAGAGAUGGCACAGUUAUUCAUACCUUCGUUUUUCUAUCCCUUUUUAACCAUAAAUGACUCUAUUCCAUCAAAUUUUUAAAUUUAACUUUGGCAUGCCUUAUAGUUUACUAACUUACUAUGUAUAUUUAACACAAUUCUGCCUAUGUUUCACAAAGCACAUAGUUACAUUGUUUUCUAUUCUCUAAAACAUCCCAGGAGUUUUGCAUUUAUGUCAUAAGCUACUAGUGUAUUUGACAUUUAUUCUAACACUUCUUAUAACUUUCCUCCAUCCUUAAGGAAAACUGCAAGGAAUUCAGUAUCUUGCCGUGGAAAGCUGGAGAGAUAAGUAGAGGACAAAUAGUACCCUUUUUAUGCCAUAUUAGAAAUACUAGGUUUUAUACUGAGGAAAAUUGUAGAACUAUAGGAAGAGUGGAAAAUAGGGAAGACAUACAGUCCUGGGCAGGAGGGUCAGAUGGCAUCUCUUGCCCUAAUGCCAGUGAUUAACAUUGAGGGCCUCAAUCAAUGAAGGCAGUGGCUCUAUGGGGUUAGAGGUGAUUCCCCCCCCUACCCCCACCCAAGACAUUUGGUAAUAUUUGGAGACAUUUUUGAUUGUUCAAACUAAGGGGUGCUACUGAUAAAUACUGGGGUGAAGACAGGGAAACUUCUAAACAUCCUGCAAUGCACAAAAUAAUCCCUCAUGACAAAGAACUGUUCUUAUAUCAGGAGGGCCAAGAUUGAGAAACCCUGAAGUAAAGGAUUUAAGGAAACAUAGAGAGGAUAGAGGUUAAGCAAUUAGAUUUAGUUGGAUUUUAUAACUGAUUAGAUGUAGAUGUGAGGAAGAAGGAAAGAAUGAUGUUAGGGUUCUAGCUCAGGUAACUAGGAGGACAAAGGGUUAGGGAAAAUAGAAACAAAGAUAAGUUUGAGACAUCUCUAAGACAUGUAGUAACCAGUUGGAAAAUAGAGAUGAGAACAAAAUGAGAAUCUUCUUAAUAAAAAAUGUACAGAUUACAUUAGAAUCUGUGCAGAUAAACUCAGAAUCUGCAUUUUUGGCAAGCAAUUAGGUGAUCUUGCAGUAUGCCAAAAUUUGAGAACAAUAGUUUUAGGUCUCAGAAGAGAGUUCUGAGGAGCAGACAGUGAGGUGGCAGGAAAACUAGGGAAGAGCAGAGUCCCAAAAGCCAUGGAAGAAGAGAGUUGACAACAGGGGUUUUAUUAGUACAAGAGGCUGCUAUAAAGGAGUAUUAUAUAUAUAUAUAAUAUAUAUAUUAUAUAAAGGUCAUUAGAAGUAUAAUGCGAGUCAGUGUAGGUAAUCAUAAAUUUUCCAGUUGCAAUAUUACAAAGGUAAAAAGAAACCAGUGAAAUUAAUCUUAGAACUAUAUUUUGUUUAAUCUAUUAUAUCUAAAACAUUUGAACAUGUAAUUAAUAUAAAAUUAAUAAGGUAUGUUAUAUCAUUUUCUCUUACAAAGUCCUAGAAAUCUGGUGUGCAUAAUUCAGUUUUUUAUGUUUUAAUAGAUAUAUCUGAACUUCUGCUUAUGCAGAAUUGCCCUCCCCCUGGAUCCAACUAGAAAAUGGGGCAUGACAUUUGAAGUGACUGUUUUCAGACAUGGGACAACAUGCAAUACAGAAUUGUGAUUCCUGAGAGGAGAGAACAACAAGUAAGGGAAGUCCUACAAUGGCUCCAGCCUACUGCCUGGAGGGCAGAACAGGAAGGGAAUUUAAAGAAAGACCAACAGUUUCACUGGAGACAGAGAAGGAACUGAGGGAAGCCAAUGAGAAGACAUCGGAGAGGGGGAAGUGGCACAGAGAAAGAUCUGUCUACCCAGGUGUAUCUUUCCCCUUGUCCUUUGGCUGAGUAUUGAUCUGUGCAACGGAAGACUGAAACUCCAUGAGAGUUGACACCAAAAAGCAGUAGGCCAAACAGUUUCUUUUCUUUUUCUUUUUUUUUUUUUUUUAGGAUUUUAAAAAUUUAUUCAUGAAAGACAGAGAGAGGCAGAGACAGGAGAAGCAGGCUCCAUGCAAGGAGCCUGAUUUGGGACCGGAUCCCUGGACUCUGGGAUCACGCUCUGAGCCGAAGGCAGAUGCUCAACCGCUGAGCCACCCAGGCCUCCCAGGCCAAACAAUUUCUGAUGCUUACAUAGGACUAGGAAUAGUUUGUGUCCCCAUCAGCCAGAGUACAGAGACUUUGUAAUACACAUAUUGUUUCUACCAAGCAAAAUAAGAGCUGUUGGAGGCUGGCCAGCUUGCUCGCUCUCUUUCUGUCUUACAGGUCUCUCUGUUUAGGCUAGUUUGGUCUUCCUCACAGCAUACUAACCAUGGGGUACCUGGGUUUAUUACAUGGUGGCUCGGAACUCCCAGUGCUUGCGUUUCAUCAAGAUGAAAAACUGCUUUGCCUAUGUAUAAGUCAUACCCUAGAGUCAUGUAUUGUCACUUCUACCUCAUUCUGUUGCUUAUAUGCAACUCAUUGAGCUUGGUCCAGAUUCAAGAAGUGGGAACAUAGCUCUUACCUCUCAAUGGGAAGAAUAUAAAAAAAAUUUGCAGAUAUAUUUUUAAACUGCAUAAAAUGGCAUAGCCUAGUACUAAAUCUAAUAACUACCAUAAUUUCAAAGUAGUAAUGACUGUAAAUGAUAUUUUGAGAUAUCUGUAACAACUUUGAUACAAAAAAAAUCUGUUUUUUUUUUUUAAGAUUUUUUUAUUUAUUCAUGAGAGACAGAGAGAGGCAGAGACAUAGGCAGAGAGAGAAGCAGGCUUCUUGAGGGGAGCCCAAUGUGGGACUCGAUCCUGGGACUCUGAGACCAUUCCUUGAGCUGAAGGCAGACACUCAAGCACUGAGCUACCCAGGCAUCCCAAAAUCUAUGAUAUCUGUUGGUGACUAAAUUUUAGGUACUGUGAACACAAUACUGCAGCAGUACUAAUAGAUGCAGCAAUUCUGUGACACCAGCUGGGAGGUAGUGUCAGGCCCCAUAGGUUAAGAGUUCAGUUGUACAAGACUGCCCCUUCCCCACUUCAGAUGCUAAUAAUUGUAAGUGCUUCUGAUCCACUGGCUAUACAUCAGAGGUUCCCAUCAUUCCCUUCUUAGGUGCUAUUGAUUUGCUAGAAUGGCUCACAAAACUCAGGAAAACAUUUUACUUAAUAGAUUACCAGUUUAUUAGAAAACAGUGUAACAGGAAUCACCAGGUAAGAGAUGCAUGGGACAAAAUAUGUAGGAAUAGGCACAGAGAACUUCCAUGCCCUUUCUGGGGCACACUUUCCUAGAUCCUUGCAUGUGUUCCCCAACCUGGGAGAUUUUCUGAACCUCGUGCUUUGGGUUUUUAUGGAGGCCUCAUUAAGUAGGUAAGAUUGAUUAAAUCAUUGGCCACUGGUGAUUAACGUAAUCUCCAGCCCCAUUUCCCUCCCAACCUUUGUGGCUUCUCAAUAGUUCUUCUUUAACAUAAACUAUGGUGCGGUUGUAAGGGGCUUGUUAUGAACCACAAAAGACACUUUUAUCACACUGACCACUUAGGAAAUUCCAAAGGUUUUACAUUCCUGCAAGGGAAGAAGACCAAGACCAAAUAUAAAUUUCUUAUUAUAGAUUACAAUAUCACAAUACCCUUCAUAUAUGUGUGUGUGUGUGUGUGUGUGUGUGUGUGUGAGUAUACCUCAUAUAUGUAUAUAUCAUAUACACAUACACACAUAUGCAUAUACAAAGUGCCUAGCACACUGUAAGCUCAAUAACUGGUAACUAAUUACUCUUACUACUAUUUAUGAACUUCCAAUUAUAUCUGGAAACACUGGAGUAUCAGCUCACAUAUGUUCUGUCAUUCAUGACAUACUAUGUUCUAAUCCUGAAAGAUGGAUACCUGAGUUAUUCAUUGUUAUUUGAACCUGUAUCUACCGACUUCCCUCUCACCACUUUGUACCCUUCUUUCUUGCAACAAUAUUUAAGUCAAUUGAUUUAAAGAAAUGCAAAAUAGGGAGUUUAACAACUGGACAGAGGUACAGAUUGAAGCUGCAUUUUUAGCUUCUGAUUUUUCUCAUUUGAAGCAAAAAUUUCAGACUGUUGUGGGGGAGGCAUGGGGAAGGAAAUGCAGAUCUGUUCACAGCUGCUACUCAAAAUACUAGCCAUAUAACCAAGAGAGAAUUUGGCUCAAAUUAAAAUCCCUGGGCUCUUCAUUGCCAUCAUAACCAUUAUUGUAUCAAUUAAGAUUCAUUUGCAUGUCCACAGUGUGUUUGGCACUACAUCAAGGAAGGAAGCUGAUGAUCACAGAGAUGGUUUCAACCAUUUUGCUUAUGUCUGAGAAUGACCCAAAUGGUAUAAAGAAGCAGCAGAAAUAAAUCAUUAAAAUUUUGUAAUUUAACAGUACUUGGAAUCAUAAAAUAUUAGAAUUGGAAAAGGA